UUUCCGUUGGUGAACCAGCGGAAGGCUUAUUACAGAGAUCAUGCCCAUCGCGGGUAGACCUCCCACUCUGUGUUAUUUACGAUUGUUGCUUUGGCAGGUCGCCUUCGGGCACUCGGCUCCGGCUGAGGUGCGCCUGCCAGAGGACCCCAACUCUGUGUUUAGUGUCGUCUGAGUACUAUUUUAAUACGUUAAAACUUUCAACAACGGAUCUCUUGGUUCUGGCAUCGAUGAAGAACGCAGC
rnacentral:misc_RNA from 1 species